GAACUUUCCAGAGAUGGAUUGGUGCCUUCGGGAACUGUGAGACAGGUGCUGCAUGGCUGUCGUCAGCUCGUGUUGUGAAAUGUUGGGUUAAGUCCCGCAACGAGCGCAACCCUUAUCCUUUGUUGCCAGCGAUUCGGUCGGGAACUCAAAGGAGACUGCCAGUGAUAAACUGGAGGAAGGUGGGGAUGACGUCAAGUCAUCAUGGCCCUUACGACCAGGGCUACACACGUGCUACAAUGGCGCAUACAAAGAGAAGCGACCUCGCGAGAGCAAGCGGACCUCAUAAAGUGCGUCGUAGUCCGGAUUGGAGUCUGCAACUCGACUCCAUGAAGUCGGAAUCGCUAGUAAUCGUGGAUCAGAAUGCCACGGUGAAUACGUUCCCGGGCCUUGUACACACCGCCCGUCACACCAUGGGAGUGGGUUGCAAAAGAAGUAGGUAGCUUAACCUUCGGGAGGGCGCUUACCACUUUGUGAUUCAUGACUGGGGUGAAGUCGUAACAAGGUAACCGUAGGGGAACCUGCGGUUGGAUCACCUCCUUACCUGAAAGAA
rnacentral:rRNA from 2 species